rnacentral:rRNA from 1 species
GACGAACGCUGGCGGCGUGCUUAACACAUGCAAGUCGAACAGAAAGGCCCUGCUUUUGUGGGGUGCUCGAGUGGCGAACGGGUGAGUAACACGUGAGUAACCUGCCCUUGACUUUGGGAUAACUUCAGGAAACUGGGGCUAAUACCGGAUAGGAGCUCCUGCUGCAUGGUGGGGGUUGGAAAGUUUCGGCGGUUGGGGAUGGACUCGCGGCUUAUCAGCUUGUUGGUGGGGUAGUGGCUUACCAAGGCUUUGACGGGUAGCCGGCCUGAGAGGGUGACCGGCCACAUUGGGACUGAGAUACGGCCCAGACUCCUACGGGAGGCAGCAGUGGGGAAUAUUGCACAAUGGGCGGAAGCCUGAUGCAGCAACGCCGCGUGCGGAAUGACGGCCUUCGGGUUGUAAACCGCUUUCGCCUGUGACGAAGCGUGAGUGACGGUAAUGGGUAAAGAAGCACCGGCUAACUACGUG